GGACUCGUCCAUUGGUCAGGCUUAACUGUCUGUACUGAUGUGUCGGAUUUCUACCUUCUGAAGAACCUUUAUGCCAUUAAUUUGGUGUGUUGGGGAAUCAGGACUGUUACUUUGAAAAAUUAGAGUGUUUAAAGCAGGCUUACGCUUGAAUACAUUAGCAUGGAAUAAUAGAAUAGGACUUUGGUUCUAUUUUGUUGGUUUCUAGGACCGAAGUAAUGAUUAAUAGGGAUAGUUGGG
rnacentral:rRNA from 2 species